rnacentral:lncRNA from 1 species
AAUUUUACAUACGAUAGGGAUCUGAGGGAGAUAGGAUAGAGGCGUGGGGGAUGGGGACAUGUAGAUUCAAUUUUACAAUGAACACAAUGAUGUUGAUUUGUGGGAGGCUUUAGAAAGGGGAUUUGCGGAAUUCUAUGGGCCUUCAUACUGAGGUUGAUAAAUAUUCUCUGCCUCUAUUUUUUUUAUUUUUUUUUACAAUCUGAAUUCUUGAUACAAGUAGAUUCUGUAUUUGUGCGACGGCACCAUCAUGAAAUUAAGCUAUUAGAUUGAGUUUCAAGAUUUCCCCAUAAAAGGGCUUUUGAUGCUUGUUUAUUUAGCUUCAUUCUUGAACUUUUAUUUUGCUCACUUCUGAUGCGUGUCUCAAGGUCUUUGAAGCGAAAAUGGC